AGAGACAGCAGCAGCCGCGGGAAUACCGAGGGUGCGAGCGUUAAUCGGAUUUACUGGGCGUAAAGCGUGCGUAGGCGGCUUUUUAAGUCGGAUGUGAAAUCCCUGAGCUUAACUUAGGAAUUGCAUUCGAUACUGGGAAGCUAGAGUAUGGGAGAGGAUGGUAGAAUUCCAGGUGUAGCGGUGAAAUGCGUAGAGAUCUGGAGGAAUACCGAUGGCGAAGGCAGCCAUCUGGCCUAAUACUGACGCUGAGGUACGAAAGCAUGGGGAGCAAACAGGAUUAGAUACCCCCGUAGUCCCUGUCUCUUAUAC
rnacentral:rRNA from 1 species